ACCGAAGUACGACGGAGAGCAAAACGUGCGCGCGCAUAUCGCUCCGUGCGCCGUCAGGCGGGAGAUUCAAUUGUCACGUGUGGAAACUGUGCGCCGUAACUUCAAAAGUGUAUUUCUUUCGCUUUUACCGUCAUCUAUUCACCCACUCAGUUGAUCACUCAUGUCUUCUUUGUUGCCAUUGAACUAGUUCUAGGCUUCCUCGUUCGGUUAUCAUUCUUAUCACUGUGUAUUCUCGUUUCUUGUCUUCAUAUUAUCCUUAUCUUUUCCCCUCGGUGUUCUUCGUGUGCUUUUUCCUCACCGUCGACUGAUCAUCACCCAAAGGAUUACCGGGCUGUGCUAAACGCAAUUAUCCGUCUUAUCAAAACUAAUUCCAACACACGAGAACUUGUGUUCUCAAAGUGACAGCGUCUAGUGCAGAGUGGUGUCAUCGCGAUCAAUCCGCCACGCGAUAGCGAUCGAUCGCUUUAGAUUUCGUUUAGGACAUUCCUUUACCGAAGGAUUCGGUCCUUCGUUUUCGUUGGUGUGAAAAUAAAGAGACGACUGUCGUUCAAACGGAAGUACCAAAUACGGUCGCAACCGUAGCUAGUGAGUUUUAUCACCCUGUAUCACUGAAGAAAAUUUCAAAUACAUGACGUGAAAAAGUUAAGACCCUUAUUGUGCAGUGAUGAUCGCCAAGGAUUGUUGGACAGAUUCUCAAAGAUUCCUAGACCCUUCGGACUUCACGGGGGUUCGAGAGUGUUCAGUUUUCAGUGAUACGCAACGGUAUAUACUUUCGCCGUGUGAAUAACGCGAUAGGCGUGAGAUGACCGGUGCUCUGUGCAUGAUCUGUCGGCGAACCUAGAAAUGCAGGAUUUGACGUAUCUGACGGCUGAAUAAUGCCCGAAUAUCUAGCGCGAGGCCGCUGGUGAUCGUAAUUCGUAAUUUCGGUUGUGAGUUUUGUGCCGUGACAUGCUCGAGUUGUUGGAAUAUGUAGUGCGCGGGUUGCAGUGACGUUCGGUUUUGACUGAGUGCCCGCUGCCACCCCAUCUAUCCAACCAUCCAUUCAUCCAUCCAUCCAUCCAUCCAUCCAUCCGUAUGCCUAUCCAUCCGCUGUUUGCUCCGGCGCUCGGUCAGUUGUUUAAUCUGUUACCCUGCAGCUCACCGGCGAUCUGGAAAUACCACAAUGCUCCAGCUUCCAGAUCCGGACCACAACAACGUGGAUUAUACCCGACUUGUUGCAGCUGCUGGAAGCGAAGAAGCCCCUGCAGUAUAACAAAUUCGAUACGCGAAUUUCGAUGACUUGAUCGAAAACUGAGCGCAGGUGAGAAAGCACUCUUCAACAUCGCUACCUACAAUACAACGAGUUUCGAACAAAAGCGACUCACUCGGGAGAAUAAGG
rnacentral:misc_RNA from 1 species